UUGCGCAAUGGGCGAAUGCCUGACGCAGCGACGCCGCGUGUGGGAUGAAGGUCUUCGGAUCGUAAACCACUGUCGGGGGGGACGAAGGCCCGGGGUUAACUGCCACCGGGAUUGACGGUACCCUCAAAGGAAGCACCGGCUAACUCUGUGCCAGCAGCCGCGGUAAUACAGAGGGUGCGAGCGUUGUCCGGAAUCACUGGGCGUAAAGGGCGCGUAGGCGGCUUGGUAAGCCGUGUGUGAAAUCCCGGGGCUCAACCCCGGAAUGGCACGCGGGACUGUCAGGCUAGAGCAUGGUAGAGGCGAGUGGAAUUCCUGGUGUAGCGGUGGAAUGCGUAGAGAUCAGGAAGAACACCAGAGGCGAAGGCGGCUCGCUGGGCCAUUGCUGACGCUGAGGCGCGAAAGCGUGGGGAGCAAACAGGAUUAGAUACCCUGGUAGUCCACGCCGUAAACGAUGGACACUAGACGUCGGGGGGAGCGACCCUCCCGGUGUCGUCGCUAACGCAAUAAAGU
rnacentral:rRNA from 1 species